UCCUACGGGGGGCAGCAGUGGGGAAUAUUGCGCAAUGGGCGAAAGCCUGAUGCAGCGACGCCGCGUGGGUGAAGAAGCGCCUCGGCGCGUAAAGCCCUGUCAGCAGGGAAGAAAAUGACGGUACCUGAAGAAGAAGCCCCGGCUAACUACGUGCCAGCAGCCGCGGUAAUACGUAGGGGGCAAGCGUUAUCCGGAUUUACUGGGUGUAAAGGGGGCGCAGACGGCAAUGCAAGCCAGGAGUGAAAGCCCGGGGCCCAACCCCGGGACUGCUCUUGGAACUGCAUGGCUGGGGUACAUGAGGGGCG
rnacentral:rRNA from 1 species